rnacentral:misc_RNA from 1 species
UCCCCGUUGCCGGGGCAGUCUGGCUAGAAAAAUACAACUAACCAUAGGGGUUGCGCUCGUUAAUGGACUUAACCAAACAUCUCACGACACGAGCUGACGACGGCCAUGCAACACCUGUCACUGGGUUCCCGAAGGCACUCUCGGCUUUCGCCAAAAUUCCCAGGAUGUCAAGCCCUGGUAAGGUUCUUCGCUUACCAUCGAAUUAAACAACACGCUCCACCGCUUGUGCGGGUCCCCGUCAAUUCCUUUGAGUUUUAGUCUUGCGACCGUACUCCCCAGGCGGGAUACUUAACGCGUUAGCUUCGCUACAUACCGGGUCGAUACGGCAUACAGCUAGUAUCCAUUGUUUACGGCGUGGACUAC